rnacentral:rRNA from 1 species
UACGGGGGGGGGCAAGCGUUGUUCGGAAUUACUGGGCGUAAAGGGCUCGUAGGCGGCCAACUAAGUCCGACGUGAAAUCCCCAGGCUUAACCUGGGAACUGCGUCGGAUACUGGAUGGCUUGAAUUCGGGAGAGGGAUGCAGAAUUCCAGGUGUAGCGGUGAAAUGCGUAGAUAUGUGGAGGAACACCGGAUGGCGAAGGCGAGCCCUCGGU